rnacentral:rRNA from 1 species
GUGAGGAAUUUUCCGCAAUGGGCGAAAGCCUGACGGAGCAAUGCCGCGUGAAGGAUGAAGGCCUAUGGGUUGUAAACUUCUUUUCUCAGAAAAGAAUUAUGACGGUAUCUGAGGAAUAAGCAUCGGCUAACUCUGUGCCAACAGCCGCGGUAAUACGGAGGGUGCAAGCGUUAUCCGGAUUUAUUGGGUUUAAAGGGUGCGUAGGCGGCUUUAUAAGUCUGGGGUUAAAGGCGGCAGCUUAACUGUACGCAUGCCUUGGAAACUGUGAGGCUUGAGUGACUUGGAGGUAGCUGGAAUUCCCUGUGUAGCGGUGAAAUGCAUAGAUACGGGGAGGAAUACCGAUUGCGAAGGCAUGUUACUACGAGUAAACUGACGCUGAUGCACGAAAGCGUGGGGAUCAAACAGGAUUAGAAACCCGGGUAGUCC